rfam:Gossypium raimondii Chr06_contig_386, whole genome shotgun sequence.
AGGUGCGAUGAUAUCAGCACUAAUGCACCGGAUCCCAUCAAAACUCUGAAGUUAAGCAUGCUCGGGAGAGAGUAGUACUAGGAUGGGUGACCUAUCUGAAGUCCUCGUCUUGAACCCC